CGUAAGCGCACGCAGGCGGUCUGUCAAGUCGGAUGUGAAAUCCCCGGGCUCAACCUGGGAACUGCAUUCGAAACUGGCAGGCUAGAGUCUUGUAGAGGGGGGUAGAAUUCCAGGUGUAGCGGUGAAAUGCGUAGAGAUCUGGAGGAAUACCGGUGGCGAAGGCGGCCCCCUGGACAAAGACUGACGCUCAGGUGCGAAAGCGUGGGGAGCAAACAGGAUUAGAUACCCUGGUAGUCCACGCCGUAAACGAUGUCGACUUGGAGGUUGUGCCCUUGAGGCGUGGCUUCCGGAGCUAACGCGUUAAGUCGACCGCCUGGGGAGUACGGCCGCAAGGUUAAAACUCAAAUGAAUUGACGGGGGCCCGCACAAGCGGUGGAGCAUGUGGUUUAAUUCGAUGCAACGCGAAGAACCUUACCUACUCUUGACAUCCAGAGAACUUUCCAGAGAUGGAUUGGUGCCUUCGGGAACUCUGAGACAGGUGCUGCAUGGCUGUCGUCAGCUCGUGUUGUGAAAUGUUGGGUUAAGUCCCGCAACGAGCGCAACCCUUAUCCUUUGUUGCCAGCGGUUAGGCCGGGAACUCAAAGGAGACUGCCAGUGAUAAACUGGAGGAAGGUGGGGAUGACGUCAACUCAUCAUGGCCCUUACGAGUAGGGCUACACACGUGCUACAAUGGCUCAUACAAAGAGAAGCGACCUCGCGAGAGCAAGCGUACCUCAUAAAGUGCGUCGUAGUCCGGAUUGGAGUCUGCCACUCGACUCCAUGAAUUCGGAAUCGCUAGUAAUCGUAAAUCAGAAUGCUACGAGUGAAUACGUUCCCGGUUCCUUGUACACGG
rnacentral:rRNA from 1 species